rnacentral:rRNA from 1 species
AGUUCGUGGAAUGAUUUGUCUGGUUAAUUCCGAUAACGAACGUGACUCAAUCAUAUUAACUAGAUACCUAUCAGCUGUUGAAAUGCUGAAGCUGCUCGCAUGGAUGGUUGUCCCUUCACGGGGAUUGAUUAUCUGUGUUGGGUAGUGGAGUUUCACCUGAUAGUUUGGUCCUGGCUCUUUCAAGGGGUCGGUGGCUCUAUCUGCUUAAUAGGACAAUUUGUGUUUAGCAAAAUGAGAUUGAGCAAUAACAGGU